GAAGUUACGCGAGAAAUAUUCAAAAUUUUGAAAUAUCUUAGUAGCUAGAGGAAAAAAAAAAGCAAAAGUGAUUCUUGUAGUGGCGGUGAGCAAAAUAGGAGUCGCCUAAAUUGUGAAGACGGAGUUGUGGGAGAGCAAUACAAGUGUCGUGCUAGUAGGUGAAACGAUGGAGUGUUGCAUCCUAGAUGGUGAUGGUCCAGUAGCCGAAAGCAUCACUAGCUAGCUUAAGCUCUAACCUGAAUAGCAUGGAGCGUGUGAAAUUCUGUGUAAGUCAGCAAGGACCACAUUAGAAGACUAAGUACUCCUGGAUGAUCGAUAGUGAAGUAGUGCCAUAAAGGAA
rnacentral:ncRNA from 1 species